rnacentral:rRNA from 1 species
AGCCGCGGUAAUACCAGCUCUCCGAGUGGUGUGGAUGUUUAUUGGGCCUAAAGCAUCCGUAGCUGGCUAAGUUAGUCCCCUGUUAAAUCCAACGAAUUAAUCGUUGGAUCGCGGGGGAUACUGCUUGGCUAGGGGACGAGAGAGGCAGACGGUAUUUCCGGGGUAGGGGUGAAAUCCUAUAAUCCCGGGAAGACCACCAGUGGCGAAGGCUGUCUGCUAGAACGCGCCCGACGGUGAGGGAUGAAAGCUGGGGGAGCGAACCGGAUUAGAUACCCGGGUAGUCCCAGCUGUAAACGAUGCAGGCUAGGUGUUUGGACGGCCACGUGCCGUUCUAGUGCCGCAGGGAAGCUGUUAAGCCUGCCGCCUGGGGAGUACGAUCGCAAGAUUGAAACUUAAAGGAAUUGGCGGGGGAGCACCACAAGGGGUGAAGCUUGCGGUUUAAUUGGAGUCAACGCCGGAAAUCUCACCGGGAGCGACAGCAGUGUGAAGGCCAGAUUAAAGGUCUUGCCAGACGAGCU